UUGGAAUUACAAAGAGAUUACAUUAUGUGCGACGAAAAAAUACGAUAGAAAAAUAUAUUAUUUAUUUUCGAUUCUGCAUAUCACGAUGAGUUUGUUAUAAUAUAUUUUUUAUGGUUCCACCGAUAACGCAGAAACAUAUCCCUAUAUAUUUUUCUUCUAAUUUUAUUUUAUUUAAUAAUAUCAGAUAGAUCUCAAUAACAAACUAAGUCUUAAUUAAAAAAAAAAAACAAACUAAGCUUUAAGGUAUCGUUUGGUUCGGGGAUAAGUAAAAAAUGACCAUUCCAGGAAUCGGAUGGGAACAAUUAAUAAAAAUAAUUUAUUAUAAUAAAUUUAUAAUUUUUUUAAAAUUCUACUUAAACUUUAAUUUAAUAAAAAAAAUUUAUUAUAAUAUUUAAAUAUAAUUUAUUAUAAAAUUUAUUAUAAUAUUUAAAUAUANGUAUUAUAAUAUAUAAUAUAUAACAUAUUAUAUUUAUAUAAUUUAUUUUUAAUUCAAUUUCGUGUUGUGGCCACUGUUUGCUGUGAGGCCUGUCUCGACGAUUUUUUAAAAAUAGUAUAUUAUAAUAUAUAUAAUAUAUUAUAUUAUAUAUAAUUUAGUUUUAAUUUAAUUUAUAAAUUUAAUUAAAUUUAAAAUUAAGUAUUGAAAUAAUACUAUUUCAAAAAAAAGAUAAAAUAGUAAAUUUGUUGCUAUUUCGAAAUAACUGAAAAUAAUAAGAGUUGAUUGAAAUAAAAAUAUUUCGAUAAAACAUUAUCCGUUUGGCGAAACAG
rnacentral:lncRNA from 1 species